rnacentral:tRNA from 1 species
GAGGGUGUAGUUCAGCAGUAGAACACAGGCUUUGCAUAAAUGAGGACCUGGGUUCAAUCCCCAGUACCGCCA